GGGAGACAGCACAGCUGUAACAUGCAGGGUCUGCAUGGGGAUUUCCAAGGUUCGAGACCUGGCACCACGAACACUCUGGAGGCAACUCUGAUAAAAUAAUACCCACUGGAAUUUGAUUUUUCAAUCUCAUAUAAUUUUUGAGCUUCGGACUUGUGUUUGCCCUAGAGGAUUGUGACUGGAACUGGUACGUGAAAGCAAUGAUGAGGUCACAUUUGAUCUACCACAAAAGAAGCAGAACCUCAUGGGAGCUGUCCUAAUGUACUGUUUACUUCCCUCACUGUGCCCCGAUGAAUAUUCAGUCUGUGGGCAGUUUUAUUAUGCACUCAGUGCUCACUGUUACACUGACAUUCUUACUAUGAUCUCUAUCAAUUCCAUUUCUUUUUUAAAAAAAUUCUAUAUUGGGUUCA